rnacentral:rRNA from 1 species
GAUGAACGCUAGCUACAGGCUUAACACAUGCAAGUCGAGGGGAAACGACAUCGAAAGCUUGCUUUUGAUGGGCGUCGACCGGCGCACGGGUGAGUAACGCGUAUCCAACCUGCCCACCACUUGGGGAUAACCUUGCGAAAGUAAGACUAAUACCCAAUGACGUCUCUAGAAGACAUCUGAAAGAGAUUAAAGAUUUAUCGGUGAUGGAUGGUGAUGCGUCUGAUUAGCUUGUUGGCGGGGUAACGGCCCACCAAGGCGACGAUCAGUAGGGGUUCUGAGAGGAAGGUCCCCCACAUGGGAACUGAGACACGGUCCAAACUCCUACGGGAGGCAGCAGUGAGGAAUAUUGGUCAAUGGACGAGAGUCUGAACCAGCCAAGUAGCGUGCAGGAUGACGGCCCUAUGGGUUGUAAACUGCUUUUAUAAGGGAAUAAAGUGAGUCUCGUGAGACUUUUUGCAUGUACCUUAUGAAUAAGGACCGGCUAAUUCCGUG